rnacentral:rRNA from 1 species
AGUGAACGCUGGCGGUAGGCCUAACACAUGCAAGUCGAACGGCAGCACAGUAAGAGCUUGCUCUUACGGGUGGCGAGUGGCGGACGGGUGAGGAAUACAUCGGAAUCUACUUUUUCGUGGGGGAUAACGUAGGGAAACCUACGCUAAUACCGCAUACGACCUACGGGUGAAAGCAGGGGGUCUUCGGACCUUGCGCGAUUGAAUGAGCCGAUGUCGGAUUAGCUAGUUGGCGGGGUAAAGGCCCACCAAGGCGACGAUCCGUAGCUGGUCUGAGAGGAUGGGCAGCCACACUGGGACGGAGACACGGUCCAGACGCCUACGGGAGGGAGCAGUGGGGAAUAGUGGGCAAGAGGCGCAAGCCUGAUCCAGACAUACCGAGUGGGUGAAGAAGGCCGUCGGGUUGGAAAGCCCGUUUUGUUGGGAAAGAAAAGCAGCAGGUUAAUACCCAGCUGUUCUGACGGUACCCAAAGAAUAAGCACCGGCUAACUUCGUG